UACGUAGGGGGAAAGCGUUGUCCGGAAUCAUUGGGCGUAAAGAGCGCGUAGGCGGCCCAGUAAGUCCGCUCUGAAAGUCAGGGGCUCAACCCCUGAAUGCGGGUGGAUACUGCUGGGCUAGAGUCCGGAAGAGGCGAGUGGAAUUCCUGGUGUAGCGGUGAAAUGCGCAGAUAUCAGGAGGAACACCGAUGGCGAAGGCAGCUCGCUGGGACGGUACUGACGCUGAGGCGCGAAAGCGUGGGGAGCGAACAGG
rnacentral:rRNA from 1 species